rnacentral:rRNA from 1 species
CACGUAGUUAGCCGGUCCUUAUUCACCACCUACCGUCAACCCCCGAGAAAACCAGGGGCCUUCGUGAGUGGUAAAAGAGGUUUACAACCCGAAGGCCUUCAUCCCCCACGCGGCGUCGCUGCGUCAGGCUUCCGCCCAUUGCGCAAUAUUCCCCACUGCUGCCUCCCGCAGGAGUCUGGGCCGUGUCUCAGUCCCAGUGUGGCCGGUCGCCCUCUCAGGCCGGCUACCCGUCAUCGCCUUGGUAGGCCAUUACCCCACCAACAAGCUGAUAGGCCGCGAGCCCAUCCCUGACCGGAAAAACCACCUUUCCGACCCCACACCAUGCAGCACGAGGUCAUAUCCGGUAUUAGACCCAGUUUCCCAGGCUUAUCCCAGAGUCAGGGGCAGGUUACUCACGUGUUACUCACCCGUUCGCCGCUCGUGUACCCCCGAAGGGGCCUUACCGCUCGACUUGCAUGUGUUAAGCACGCCGCCAGCGUGUCCUCGAGCCACGGAGUCAAACUAC